ACUAGGCGAGUGAGCGAGAAGCUAGUAACUAGCAGCGACGUGUGUGAACGUAGCUUUAUCCUAAACACUCCCUCACACACUGUCUUUCUUCUCUUCCAGGGAGACGAGAGAAACUUCUGAAAUAGACAUUGUCUACAGUGAAGCCAGACUUAUUAGAGCUACAAGUGACACUCAGGCCUCUAACAGUAUGACGACUCCAGACGAUGACAUGAUCUACUGCAAAGUAACACGAGGUGCCACACAGUAAAAAAGGGGACCAAAUACAAUCUAGGAUG